AGUUGUGGUAGUUUUCUUUCUGGCCCAUUUGUUAAGUUUUCAGAUGGGCCUGACUCUGCCACAUAUAUCAUUAUAGGAGCUGGCAAAGGCUUGAUGACAGAGAGAUCUCUUCCUAGCCUUUCCCAUAUCAGAGAUGGGCUCCCACAUGU
ensembl:snoRNA